UGCAGAAUCCCGUGAACCAUCGAGUUUUUGAACGCAAGUUGCGCCCGAAGCCUUCCGGUUGAGGGCACGUCUGCCUGGGCGUCA
rnacentral:rRNA from 1 species